UCGAGAAUUUUUCUCAAUGGGCGAAAGCCUGAAGGAGCGACGCCGCGUGGGGGAUGAAGGGCUUCGGCUCGUAAACCCCUGUCAUUUGCGAACAAACCUUUUCACUUAACACGUGAAAAGCUGAUUGUAGCGAAAGAGGAAGGGACGGCUAACUCUGUGCCAGCAGCCGCGGUAAUACAGAGGUCCCAAGCGUUGUUCGGAUUCACUGGGCGUAAAGGGUGCGUAGGUGGCGGGGUCAGUCUGACGUGAAAUCUCCGGGCUUAACCCGGAAAUGGCGUUGGAAACUACCUUGCUUGAGGGUUGGAGGGGGGACUGGAAUACUUGGUGUAGCAGUGAAAUGCGUAGAUAUCAAGUGGAACACCAGUGGCGAAGGCGAGUCCCUGGACAACUCCUGACACUGAGGCACGAAAGCUAGGGGAGCAAACGG
rnacentral:rRNA from 1 species